rnacentral:rRNA from 1 species
UAGAUGAUGUCGAGUGGCGGACGGGUGAGUAAUGCUUGGGAACUUGCCUUUGCGAGGGGGAUAACAGUUGGAAACGACUGCUAAUACCGCAUAAUGUCUUCGGACCAAACGGGGCUUCGGCUCCGGCGCAAAGAGAGGCCCAAGUGAGAUUAGCUAGUUGGUGAGGUAAAGGCUCACCAAGGCAACGAUCUCUAGCUGUUCUGAGAGGAAGAUCAGCCACACUGGGACUGAGACACGGCCCAGACUCCUACGGGAGGCAGCAGUGGGGAAUAUUGCACAAUGGGGGAAACCCUGAUGCAGCCAUGCCGCGUGUGUGAAGAAGGCCUUCGGGUUGUAAAGCACUUUCAGUUGUGAGGAAAAGUUAGUAGUUAAUACCUGCUAGCCGUGACGUUAACAACAGAAGAAGCACCGGCUAACUCCGUGCCAGCAGCCGCGGUAAUACGGAGGGUGCGAGCGUUAAUCGGAAUUACUGGGCGUAAAGCGCACGCAGGCGGUUUGUUAAGCUAGAUGUGAAAGCCCCGGGCUCAACCUGGGACGGUCAUUUAGAACUGGCAGACUAGAGUCUUGGAGAGGGGAGUGGAAUUCCAGGUGUAGCGGUGAAAUGCGUAGAUAUCUGGAGGAACAUCAGUGGCGAAGGCGACUCCCUGGCCAAAGACUGACGCUCAUGUGCGAAAGUGUGGGUAGCGAACAGGAUUAGAUACCCUGGUAGUCCACACCGUAAACGCUGUCUACUAGCUGUUUGUGACUUUAAGUCGUGAGUAGC